UUACAGAAUAGUUUCUCAACAACUUUUUCUGUUGCUAUACAUAUUUCAAUUCUUUGGUGAAAACUCAAAACAUACUUCUAUGUGCAAAGACGAAACAUAUUGGUUGCUAGUGAUUAAAACUUUUGCGAGGGGGAGGUACUUGUCUCCUGAUUGUUGUUGUCGCAAAAGACCUUUUCGUUAAGUGAGUUUGUCCGUGUGAACAAAUGAAACAUGUGAUCAAGAAUGAUCUUGUGACCUUGGUGCGGUGUCUUCCAAAGACUUGACUGUGAGAACUUUUUUUUUUUUUGAACAACCCUUAGACUGUGAGAACUAGAAAAUGGAAAAACGAAGAGAUAUAUGGCCCAGACGAUUGUUGGGCUUUGCCCUUUGAAGAAAUAGACGUGUUUUGAAAAUGAGGCAUCAGGUGCAAAUGGUCUAAAUUCUACUUAAGUUUCACUUAUCAACUGAAAAUUUAGCUUAGUUCAAAUUGUUAUUGAGAGUGAAAAACUGGUCUCCCAUGAGAAGUAGAUUGUAUUUCCUCUAUUGAAGAAAUUCAAUGGUCUGUUCAAAAAUCGAGUCUUGUAUGUUUUAGCUAUCCAGCCCAUUAAACUUCUAAUAGUUUGGACCUUAAAAGCCCUUAGUUUAUUUGAAUCUCUCGUUGAUAUUUUUCGCCAUAUUCUUCUUCUAGCUUCCUCACCG
rnacentral:lncRNA from 1 species